rnacentral:lncRNA from 1 species
GAAAAGACGCGAAAAAUGACUAAAAUGACACAAAGUGAAAGUUCAAGGACCAAGGUACAAUUACCCAAAAGUUGACCCGAUGAACAAAUUAAGGAAUUGGUUGAACCAAAUGCCAAUUGAUGAUGCCUUGGGAUGAUGAAAUGGAAAGAGUGAAGAGAAGAGGCCUAGAAGUGAAAGAUUCAAGUAAAGGGACUAAAUUAAAGAGAAUAGAAAUUGGAGUCUACCAUGCGACCGCAUGGUAGAACUCUCAUGCGGUCGCACGAAUGAAUGCAGAGAAUUUUUAUCAAAACAUGGAAUAACCAUGCGGCCGCACGGAUUAAAACCAUGCGGUCGCAUGGUAGCCUUUCCGAUACGAUAUUUUCUUUCCUUAUACGAUUAAAACUCCUUUGGUAACCUAAUAUUUACGGGAUAUAAAUAUCAAAAAAGGUCCAAAAAUGACCAGAACGCAUUGGGGGGCAGAAAAACACUUCUUGAAGAUGAUUUGGAGCGCAAGAAUGAAGACUGACUAUUAGAAUUUCAAGAUUUCUUCAAGCUUUUAUAAUCCGGUGAUGCUUAUUACUCAAAACUUGAUGUAUUUUGUUAUUUUAAUCAUGCUAGGCUAGAUUUUCGUGUGCUAGGAGAUCGAUGAACCAUGUAAUUUGAAUUUUAAUAUCUUAGUUUUGCAAUUUGAUAUUA